rnacentral:rRNA from 2 species
CCCGAACGGUGGAUCACUCGGCUCGCGGA